rnacentral:lncRNA from 10 species
UCCAGCCUUUUGUUAUCUCCUGAUUCAUGACUCAUUUACCACAUCUACUGUAUGAGAGGUUGGUCUCAUUCGCCCACCUACUGAGUCCCAGAUUGCAUAUGUCAAGCAGGACACCUCUCCUUAACCCAUCUGCUCUAUGCUAAGCUUGAAAGACUAGGGGUGUACUGAGUAGCCUUUUCUUUCCUUAAAAUAGCAGGGUGAGUCUUAAAAAAAACACCUCACAGGUGAGUUCCUAAUUUCACUAAACUGCUGAGCACAGUGAGAAAUGCUCCAGCUAGGCAGACAAGCUCUUGCCCUUUUUUCUGUAACUUACAAAUUGUGUGGUUUUGCAAAUCAGGCAACUUCUGCCAUCAGGCAAAUGUGCAUUUGCAGAGCAAAUUGUGGUUGGCUUUUUAGAGAUGACUCAGGUAUGCAUUGGAGCUUGCUGCAUGGAAAUUCCUCAUCAGGGGAAGCUUGUGGGAAAUCUGGAGGUGAUGUAAGGCCCCCUGGUAAUUAUAGUAGGAACUUUUAACUUCAUCUGUUUCUGGGGUAAUUUCCAAAUGCUCAAACUUCUUUUGAAUAAUUGUAGGUCUCUUAAUUCAAAUCUUUUUUUUUUUUUUUGAGACAGGGUCUCACUCUG